AACAUUCGAAUUUAAGUUUGAAUUUUAGUUCGAUCUCCACCUUAGGUUUGAUUUUUUGUAAUGUUGUGUUUGCCAAAACCAUUUUCAUCGAAUGAAGCAGCAAUAUCAAAUCGAUGAUAUCAUAUAGUAGUUUAAUUGUAUACGAUUUGAACGAAAAUCAAUGAAAACAAAACGUAUCAAAUCGAUUGUUGUUGCUGUUGUAUCAGUAAUCAACAACCUACAGAUAAAUUUAUCAAGAAAAAAAAUUGUCCAUUUUCUGUGUUCCAGGUGUCUGUGUGUGUGUAUGUGUAUCUAUCAAAGAUGUACUGAUGAUAAAAUCUACAAAUGUUUAAAAAGCAGAAGAAAAAAAAUUAUAGCCCGAAGAAAAUGUUCAUACUACUGAAAUGGAAAAUAUAAAGUUAUCAAGUGCAAGUGCAAAAUUAUCGUCGUCCUCGUUUUUUUUUAAAUUUUAUUUCUGGGCAUCUCGGAACAAAUGGCCAAUGGAACAAUUUAAGUAUAUGCAUGUUAAUCAUCAUCAAUUGAUCCAUUCAAGCUAUAUUCCCGAGUUUUGUCGAAUUAGUAAAAA